rnacentral:rRNA from 1 species
UACGUAGGGGGCGAGCGUCGUCCGGAGUUACUGGGCGUAAAGCGCACGCAGGCGGUCUGUUAAGUUUGGAGUGACAGUUGGUGGCUCAACCACCAAAGUGCUUUGAAAACUGAUAGACUUGAGGGCUUCAGAGGGACACGGAAUUCCGGGUGGAGUGGUGAAAUGCGUAGAGAUCCGGAGGAACACCAAAGGCGAAGGCAGUGUCCUGGGGAGUACCUGACGCUCAGGUGCGAAAGCCAGGGGAGCGAACGGG